UUUUUUUUUCCUCCUUG
rnacentral:sRNA from 1 species